GUCCAUGCCGUAAACGUUGGGCGCUAGGUGUGGGGUCCAUUCCACGGAUUCCGUGCCGCAGCUAACGCAUUAAGCGCCCCGCCUGGGGAGUACGGCCGCAAGGCUAAAACUCAAAGGAAUUGACGGGGGCCCGCACAAGCGGCGGAGCAUGCGGAUUAAUUCGAUGCAACGCGAAGAACCUUACCAAGGCUUGACAUGCGCGGUGGAAUCCCAGAGAUGGGGUGUCAUUUAGUUGGUCGCGUACAGGUGGUGCAUGGUUGUCGU
rnacentral:rRNA from 1 species